rnacentral:tRNA from 2 species
GGGGCUAUAGCUCAGCUGGGAGAGCGCUACACUGGCAGUGUAGAGGUCGACGGUUCGAUCCCGUCUAGCUCCACCA